rnacentral:piRNA from 1 species
UUAUUUCUUUGGAGCCAUACCAAUGGGUGU